GACGAACGCUGGCGGCGUGCCUAGUACAUGCAAGUCGAACGCUGAAGGAGGAGCUUGCUUCUCUGGAUGAGUUGCGAACGGGUGAGUAACGCGUAGGUAACCUGCCUGGUAGCGGGGGAUAACUAUUGGAAACGAUAGCUAAUACCGCAUAAUAGCAGUUGUUGCAUGACAACUGUUUGAAAGGUGCAAUUGCACCACUACCAGAUGGACCUGCGUUGUAUUAGCUAGUUGGUGGGGUAACGGCUCACCAAGGCGACGAUACAUAGCCGACCUGAGAGGGUGAUCGGCCACACUGGGACUGAGACACGGCCCAGACUCCUACGGGAGGCAGCAGUAGGGAAUCUUCGGCAAGGGACGGAAGUCUGACCGAGCAACGCCGCGUGAGUGAAGAAGGUUUUCGGAUCGUAAAGCUCUGUUGUAAGAGAAGAACGAGUGUGAGAGUGGAAAGUUCACACUGUGACGGUAUCUGAACAGAAAGGGACGGCUAACUACGUG
rnacentral:rRNA from 1 species